rnacentral:rRNA from 1 species
UACAGAGGGUGCGAGCGUUAAUCGGAAUUACUGGGCGUAAAGCGUGCGUAGACGGUUAUUUAAGUCGGGUGUGAAAGCCCCGGGCUCAACCUGGGAAUUGCAUUCGAGACUGAAUAGCUAGGGUACGGUAGAGGGAAGUGGAAUUCCGGUGUAGCGGUGAAAUGCGUAGAUAUCGGAAGGAACAUCAGUGGCGAAAGCGACUUCCUGGACCAGUACCGACGUUCAGGCACGAAAGCGUGGGGAGCAAACAGG